UGCGUAGGUGGUUUUUUAAGUCCGUUGUGAAAUCCCUGGGCUCAACCUGGGAAUGGCAGUGGAUGCUGGAAGGCUAGAGUGCGGUAGAGGGUAGUGGAAUUCCCGGUGUAGCAGUGAAAUGCGUAGAGAUCGGGAGGAACACCAGUGGCGAAGGCGGCUACCUGGACCAGCACUGACACUGAAGCACGAAAGCGUGGGGAGCAAACA
rnacentral:rRNA from 1 species